rnacentral:tRNA from 1 species
GUCUCGUUGGUGUAGUUGGUUAUCACGUCGGUCUCAUAAUCUGGAGGUCGCCAGUUCGAUCCUGGCACGGGACA